CCUACGGGAGGCAGCAGUGAGGAAUAUUGGUCAAUGGCCGUAAGGCUGAACCAGCCAAGUCGCGUGAAGGAAGAAGGACCUAUGGUUUGUAAACUUCUUUUAUAGGGGAAUAAAGGUAUCUACGUGUGGAUAUUUGCAUGUACCCUAUGAAUAAGCAUCGGCUAAUUCCGUGCCAGCAGCCGCGGUAAUACGGAGGAUGCGAGCGUUAUCCGGAUUUAUUGGGUUUAAAGGGUGCGUAGGUUGUUUUUUAAGUCAGCUGUGAAAGUUUGUGGCUCAACCAUAGAAUUGCCGUGGAAACUGGAAGACUUGAGUGUGUUUGAGGCAGGCGGAAUGCGUGGUGUAGCGGUGAAAUGCAUAGAUAUGACGCAGAACCCCGAUUGCGAAGGCAGCUUACUACGCCAUAACUGACGCUGAAGCACGAAAGCGUGGGGAUCGAACAGGAUUAGAUACCCGAGUAGUC
rnacentral:rRNA from 1 species